GAGAGAUGGCUCAGCAGGUAAGAGCACUGGCUACUGUUCCAGAGGACCUGGGUUCAAGUCCCAGCGCUCA
rnacentral:tRNA from 1 species